rnacentral:tRNA from 2 species
GCCCGGAUAGCUCAGUCGGUAGAGCAUCUGACUUUUAAUCUGAGGGUCAAGGGUUCAAGUCCCUGUUCGGGCA